rnacentral:rRNA from 1 species
CAUGCAAGUCGAGCGAUCUUCUUUGGAAGAGAGCGGCGGACGGGUGAGUAACGCGUGGGUAACCUGCCCUGUACACACGGAUAACAUACCGAAAGGUAUGCUAAUACGGGAUAACAUAUGAGAGUCACAUGACUUUUAUAUCAAAGCUUUUGCGGUACAGGAUGGACCCGCGUCUGAUUAGCUAGUUGGUAAGGUAACGGCUUACCAAGGCGACGAUCAGUAGCCGACCUGAGAGGGUGAUCGGCCACACUGGAACUGAGACACGGUCCAGACUCCUACGGGAGGCAGCAGUGGGGAAUAUUGCACAAUGGGCGAAAGCCUGAUGCAGCAACGCCGCGUGAGCGAUGAAGGCCUUCGGGUCGUAAAGCUCUGUCCUCAAGGAAGAUAAUGACGGUACUUGAGGAGGAAGCCCCGGCUAACUACGUGCCAGCAGCCGCGGUAAUACGUAGGGGGCUAGCGUUAUCCGGAAUUACUGGGCGUAAAGGGUGCGUAGGCGGUCUUUCAAGCCAGAAGUGAAAGGCUACGGCUCAACCGUAGUAAGCUUUUGGAACUGUAGGACUUGAGUGCAGGAGAGGAGAGUAGAAUUCCUAGUGUAGCGGUGAAAUGCGUAGAUAUUAGGAGGAAUACCAGUAGCGAAGGCGGCUCUCUGGACUGUAACUGACGCUGAGGCACGAAAGCGUGGGGAGCGAACAGGAUUAGAUACCCUGGUAGUCCACGCCGUAAACGAUGAGUACUNAGGUGUCGGGGGUUACCCCCCUCGGUGCCGCAGCUAACGCAUUAAGUACUCCGCCUGGGAAGUACGCUCGCAAGAGUGAAA